GAUGGUGGUGCUCUGUUGGACGACAAGGCCAAGAGAAUGAAAGAUCUGUUGUCGAGCGUCUACUCCGCAGAUCGUCCUCCUUCAAUGCCCUCCAAUAAUUCUUCCAAAUACGCAAGCUUGACACCAUCAACACCACUUCUUUCGAUGCUGAACAAUACAUGAAUCUCCUCGUGCGAGCAAUUUGGAAUACAAUUAGGGCUGUGAUGGAAUUGCUUUAUAACUACGUACACAACAAAAGUACUCUUCGCUCCUUCUCACUAUCUCAAACAUGGAAGGUUCUGAUGCAUUCUUUUUUAAUUUACUUGCACAAGCACGUAGAUACACAAGCUGCUCAUGUAGAGUGCUAAGCUGACAAGCUCUCCCUCUUUACGACCAAUUCAUUUAUAGUGGAAGAAAUGCAAGGUUUUUUCAAAAGAAGGCUCUGCCUAUGGAAGGGGGGUGAGUUUCAAAAUUAUUGGGGACAUUAUAGCUUGGCUCUCUUCGUGGAGAUGAUUUUUCACUUUGCUAAAAUCAGAUAAUCAGUGACAAUUGUAAGCUCUCCAAUCUAACUUUUAAUGAAUAACAAUAGGUUUUGCAGUACUUAAUAGUUAUGCUCCGAUUUCAAAUUCCGUUAUGUGUCCUCAGUAAGUUUUAUGCCCCUCAAUAACCUUAUGCUUCCAUUCACAUGUCGUUAUCUUCAUAGGAAAUUUUCUUCAUUUGAAACAUCAAAUGCCUUUUAAUACAGGAUCAAAAUGUUUGAAAAACUCGGCUUUCUUUGUUAUUCCGAGUACAUAUACACAAAAUACUAUGGAAAUAAAAUAGAAUUCAUUGGAUGGGGCAACUUAGUUGAUUUAGCUUGAGAUUGUACUCCGUUCGGUCGUUUGUCACGGGCAUGCGCUAGAAAAUGUUUGGAUGUGCCAUUAUUUUAUGCUCACACAUUUCCAUGGAUAGAAGUCAUGACACUAAAAUUUUGAGUCGUGCGGCACGGUUAUGCGCUAGUUAUAUAUAACUUGAAGAGUUAUGGGAAUCUGGUAGGUUUUGCCAUCCCAAAUAUGAGAUUGUAUGUGUAGCCAUUUGUUUCUCAAUGGCUUGGAAAAUCCAGUUAGAAACUCAUUUGGUUUGGAAUUUGGAAUUUUGUUUGCUGUUUUAUUUUACUUUGAUUUUGUGAUACUAUAACCACAUCCACAACAUGCUCUUUGGAACUCAACCAUGGUGACAAAAGGCUCAAGUUGGUAAUCGCCGAUUGCUGUGGUCAGUGGAUGGCUUCACUUGCGGGGCAAUUGAAAAUGCAUGCCCAAGAUAGAUAUGGUUUUAGUUUGCUCCUUUUUCUAAAACCAACUUCAGAAAAUUUAACAUGAUGUGGUUUGCUCCAUUGUUGUAAUUCUGAAUUUAUUUCUAGGUGUGACUUGAUUAUGGGAUCUUGAGCUAUUGUUUUUCUUAAGUGGUUUGAAUGUGUUAAGUUUAUGUAUGCGUUAAGUUUAUGUAGCAAGGUAGUGGUGUCAAUCUUGAGCAAGAAUAGAAAAUGAACCUUUUGGUGACCUUAUCGUACCCAUCUUGAUAAAUUACAUUUCACAGUUUUGAUUUGAUCUCAUCUUUCGUGGUUUGUUGGGACUUAAGACUAGAAGUGUGGUAUUAGAAACAAUAGGGCUGGAUUUGCUGAGACAAAUGGAUUUUUUCUGGUUUCAAAGUUUUUGAGAUGUUUUGUAUCUUUUAUCUAAUAAUGGCUUCAGUGAUAUCUAAUAGUGGCUGCAAUGAUUUAGCUGUACAAAAUCAUUUUGGUUUUGCAUUACUUAUAUGCAUUUAUGCCCCAUUAUUUUGCAGGGAUUUUCGGGGAGGAUCCCUGGCGCUAUCCCCAUGUCAAAGCAUUUACACAAUGCAAUUGGUUACUGAGGUCUACUUGCAGGCCAUUAGGCGGGAACAACAGUUAUGGGUUUCAAUAUGCUAAGCAAAUCAGCUGCCGAUAGGUCAUAGUAGUGGAUGGCGAAAUGGUGUCUGGAUCUGCAGUUGUGGCUUUAACGACUAUUCUUCUCAUGAACAGUGCAACAAGUGCAAUGCUUCCAUGCCACCAGUGCUUGAAACAAGCGAUUUGCAUCUCAAGAACUUUUUCAUGACUGAGGUAAUAAGAGAUUGAAUGUAGGACUGGGAAUUACAGACUCUUCUUGGGCUGCAGAAUGUGUACCCAUUGUCUGACCAAAUAGCUGUUUCUGGUGGCAACCAAACUGCCGUGUAUCCCCCUCCCUCCUAUCCAAGUGGAAGCUCAGCUACGGCUCCAAAUUUACCUGUCAAUUUGCAGUUUCCUCAUGUGGCAACAACGGCUACGAUCCUUGGCAAAGGGUAAAUUGGACCAUGUUAUCCUUUUCAUGCAUGAAUUUGAUACACUUUGGACCAAGUAAUUAGUUUUGUGCGGAGAAUGCAUCAUGCUUGUUCGUACGUGCUGAACUUAAUUUAUGCUUUUGUUGUCUUCUGUUCUCGAAAUCUUUUGGACCGUUUUAGUUUGUUUGCAUGUACAUCCAUUGCUGCUUUCAAAAAAUAACAACAGAACAACUAUGCCAAAUUAUUGAUGUGUUCUUUCAGUUCAACUAUUUUGGAUGUGGGAUGUGGUACGAGCUACUAUGAGGGAGUACUCAAGGACAUCUGAGUUCGCCUGUAGGGCUCCGCAUUCUGAUACCUUUUGUGGACAACUUGUGGCCAUGCACAUUACUAUCUCAUUUAGGGCUUGGCAUAGAAAUGUUAGCAAGGAUAAUUGCACAGUAAUGCGGAAUUGGACCUGGUUAGAAGUUUAAGUAUGUGGGUGCCAUGGCUACUUCUGUAAACUUAUUGUUGUAGGACGUUAGUCAUGGAUUGAAGGCAUUUUUUUAAACUAAAAAAUAGUGGGUUAAGGAAGGGGAGGUUAGAGGGAUGUUGAAUCAAAAGGCACUAUGUCAUUAGUUUUGUUGCCUCUUUAUUUUUUGAUGAUAGUUGAAUUCACUUACAUUCCACAUUUUAGCAAUUUUUACUUCAAGUCUAGAUAAGCUAGGAUGGCAUGCAUGUCAUACAAUCCCUUAACUUUUUAACAAAGUUUUGAUUUGGUUUUAUUUUUUCAGAGUGAGCAAUUAAUAGAAUUUUUUAAGACUACAUACGAAGCUGCUCUCUCUCCGCACUAUCUCAAAUCUUUUGUUAUAAUAAGGGAUGAGUAUUAUUAACAUUGUUGUGGCCUAGGUAUCGAAAAAGUUAUGUUAGCUAUCGAUUACUCUCUUAUGUUAGGUUGAUUAUGUUUACUCUCUUUUUUUAUGAAUAAUUUAUCAAGUGCACUUAGUACACUUGACCACGUCACAUGUGCUAUAAUAGAACAGUGAAAGCUUGGUUGUUGUCCUUUUUUUGCUUCUGACCGCAGGGUAUUGAGAACAGAUAGCUAGGUGAUAUUUGGAGGCAAUUGGGAUCGUGUAAUGAGUGAGAGGAGAGAGCAAAGUCUCUGGGCCUAUUUGCUACUUUAACCAGUCCAUAUACUAUGCUUCUAUAACUACUUCAAUUUGCUUCAUGCAUUCCCAACUUCACCAUUACAUGCUAAACUAAUUUGUGCUAAAUCAAAGCCUAUUCUCUUUAACCACAAAUCGACGGGCAUGACAUUCGUGCAGUGCACAAAGCCCUUAAUCUAGUUCUUUAUGGAAUACUAUUUUUCGUAGUGCACUAUAGUCUACACACGUGCUAAUCCAAAACGUAUUUUAAAACUAGAAGUCUGGUAUGGGUCAUAUGGAAUAUCAUGGUAUGUUUUUGAAAGUACGUAACAUUUGGAAAUUGUGUAACGUACUAGUCAACUUUGUUGCAUUUGAAGUCACGUUGAACCAUGAAUUGCUUUCAGACUUUCAAAAGAUCUUACUCCAUGGAAAGAAAGAUAGCACCUAUUAGGUGUUUGACUAAAUGCCCAACAAUGGGUGAUGAGGUAAGAGGGUUAAGGGCAUCCAAAAUAGUUUAUAAUCUAUAUGUUUGUUGAUGGGGAAGGCUUUGAUAGAUGGGAUUCUGAAGGAAAAAAAAAAAAAGGGGGGGGUGGGGGAGGGGAUGGGAGAGAGACAUUAAAUGGAGGAUUUUAAAUAGUUCUAUAUGUAGGAUAUGGAUGUGACGUGCGUUGUACUUGAAUUUUUCUUUUCCAAAAUUGUUGCUUGAAAGGUGACCCUUUAUGUAGAAUUCUGGAUCCGCCACUGGUGAGAGCUAAUUUUUUUUGUUGUAUUUCUGUCUAUAGUCAAGUUAGAUUUACAUGUGAAAUUGGUUCUAAACUAAACAUGAGUUUCACUUUGGAUUUAGUACGCUUUCUUUGUCUCUCUCCCUCUCUCUCUGGCUUACUGAUGAAUUAAAUUUUUUUGUCAAUUUUCCUCGUUUAGACAAGUUAAGUGGGACUGCAAUUUGUUGGGUUUGAGAACUUGAAUCUUG